UACGUAGGCAGCAAGCGUUGUUCGGAGUUACUGGGCGUAAAGGGUGUGUAGGCGGUUCUCUAAGUCUGGUGUGAAAUCUCCCGGCUCAACUGGGAGGGUGCGCCGAAAACUGGAGGACUAGAGUGCGGGAUGGGAGAGUGGAAUUCCUGGUGUAGCGGUGAAAUGCGUAGAUAUCUGGAGGAACACCGGUGGCGAAGGCGGCAUCCUGGACCGGUAUUGACGCUGAGGCGCGAAAGCCAGGGGAGCAAACGGG
rnacentral:rRNA from 1 species